CCAAUAGCGUAUAUUAAAGUUGUUGCAGUUAAAAAGCUCGUAGUUGAAUUUCGGAAUCUGUCCGUUGGUCGGGCUUCAUUGUCCGUACUGGUGUGAUGGGUUCUUACCUUCUGAAUAACCAGCAUGCCAUUCAUUUGGUGCGUUGGGGAAGCAGGACUAUUACCUUGAAAAAAUUAGAGUGCUCAAAGCAGGCUAGUGCCUGAAUACAUUAGCAUGGAAUAAUAAAAUAGGACGGCAUGGUUCUAUUUUGUUGGUUUCUAGGAUCACCGUAAUGAUUAAUAGGGAUAGUUGGGGGCAUUAGUAUUCAAUUGUCAUAGGUGAAAUUCUUGGAUUUAUUGAAGACUAACUUCUGCGAAAGCAUUUGCCAAGGAUGUUUUCAUUAAUCAAGAACGAAAGUUAGGGGAUCGAAGACGAUCAGAUACCGUCGUAGUCUUAACCAUAAACUAUGCCGACUAGGGAUCGGACGAUGUUAAUUUUUUAAUGACUCGUUCGGCGCCUUACG
rnacentral:rRNA from 1 species